CUGGCUCAGGACGAACGCUGGCGGCGUGCCUAAUACAUGCAAGUCGAACGAACUCUCCUAUUGAUUGGUGCUUGCAUCAUGAUUUACAUUUGACUGAGUGGCGAACUGGUGAGUAACACGUGGGAAACCUGCCCAGAAGCGGGGG
rnacentral:rRNA from 1 species